GACGAACGCUGGCGGCGUGCUUAACACAUGCAAGUCGAACGGUGAAGCUCCAGCUUGCUGGAGUGGAUCAGUGGCGAACGGGUGAGUAACACGUGAGCAACCUGCCCCUGACUCUGGAAUAAGCGCUGGAAACGGCGUCUAAUACUGGAUACGAGAAGGGUCCGCAUGGGCACUUUCUGGAAAGUUUUUCGGUUGGGGAUGGGCUCGCGGCCUAUCAGCUUGUUGGUGAGGUAAUGGAUCACCAAGGCGACGACGGGUAGCCGGCCUGAGAGGGCGACCGGCCACACUGGGACUGAGACACGGCCCAGACUCCUACGGGAGGCAGCAGUGGGGAAUAUUGCACAAUGGGCGAAAGCCUGAUGCAGCGACGCCGCGUGAGGGAUGACGGCCUUCGGGUUGUAAACCUCUUUCAGCAGGGAAGAAGCGAAAGUGACGGUACCUGCAGAAGAAGCACCGGCUAACUACGUG
rnacentral:rRNA from 1 species